AUGGCCGGUGAGGAGGAGGUGCAGGUGGUAGAGUCUUGCUUUGUAAUGCCGGCCGUUGCCACACCAGGAAGAGCGCUCCGGCUGUCGCCGCUCGACCUCAUGCUAGCCAACAAAGGCCACACCCCACUUGUUGAAGACGGCAUUGGGCAAGGCCCUCGUGGCCUUCUACCCCCGGCCGGCCGUCUCAGGCCAGACGCCAAGGGCAAAUUGAAGAUCGACUGCAACGGCAAGGGUUUACCUUUCCUUGUGGCUCACUCUCGUCUAACUGUUGAUGACUUUAGCGACUUCAAGCCAUCACCAUGGCUAAGGAGGUUGUUUGUUCCCCUCAUCGACGAUUCAGCAGGCAUCUUGUGCGCCAUUCAGGCUGGUUGGUUCACCGCUGCAGUAGAAAAAUCGAGAGGCCAACACCGUAGAAAUAUCGAGAGGCAGUCCACCCAGCCAAUCGAUCGCCUCCUUCCAUCUCUAUUUCUUCUUCCUGCAGCGACGCGUCCUCUCCACCCCCAACCUAUCUCUCGCUGUCCAUGGGAGCCAGCCUGUGUCCCCUUCGUAGUCCCCUCCCGCACCUCUUCUCCACGCCUCUGCCCCGGCUCCGGCCCGCCACGGGGCUCACAGCCACAAAUACUAUGCCUCUCCCAAAGCCGGCUAUGGGAGUCGGCGACGGAUCCGACCACAUCGGUAUCCUGCAUCACCUCUAGCCUCGCCCCCUCCCGGUUCGUCGGCGUAAGAAGCAUCCCUCAUGAGAAUUCCAGAAAUUCGUCCCCGACGUGGAUCGAACUCUGGUCGUUGGGUUUACAAUCAUGCGCCCCCAACCACUGGGCUAUGCCCAGCAAGUUUCAUCCCUGA
rnacentral:rRNA from 1 species